rnacentral:rRNA from 1 species
GGGUGAUCUGCCCUGCACUUCGGGAUAAGCCUGGGAAACUGGGUCUAAUACCGGAUAUGACCUCAGGUUGCAUGACUUGGGGUGGAAAGAUUUAUCGGUGCAGGAUGGGCCCGCGGCCUAUCAGCUUGUUGGUGGGGUAAUGGCCUACCAAGGCGACGACGGGUAGCCGACCUGAGAGGGUGACCGGCCACACUGGGACUGAGACACGGCCCAGACUCCUACGGGAGGCAGCAGUGGGGAAUAUUGCACAAUGGGCGAAAGCCUGAUGCAGCGACGCCGCGUGAGGGAUGACGGCCUUCGGGUUGUAAACCUCUUUCAGCAGGGACGAAGCGCAAGUGACGGUACCUGCAGAAGAAGCACCGGCUAACUACGUGCCAGCAGCCGCGGUAAUACGUAGGGUGCAAGCGUUGUCCGGAAUUACUGGGCGUAAAGAGUUCGUAGGCGGUUUGUCGCGUCGUUUGUGAAAACCAGCAGCUCAACUGCUGGCUUGCAGGCGAUACGGGCAGACUUGAGUACUGCAGGGGAGACUGGAAUUCCUGGU